UUAUUCAACCAAAACAGGCUGCCUUUCAUGGGCCCCACAGAUCUGCCAUAAGUACAUUUAACAUGAAGAGAAAAAGCAAUGAAGGAAAAUCCCAGGGUACAAGCAUCAUUGCUUACAGUUCACAGUUGUGUUUGACUUUUCUGGGGACCUUUCUUACGGAGGAAUAAAUUGUUUUGCUCCAGCUCUGUCGAGAGGGCCAUGCACGUGUCAGUGAGGCCUAAGGAGAAUGCGACAAGAACUUUGUUCUUUUACUAAUUCUGACCUCAGAAUCAAAUCAGCUGCCCUCGUGAAUCGUAUCUCUCUCCAACUGCAUACUGCAUCUUGGCAAGGUAAGGGAACUCGGCUGCAAUGAAGAGUGAAGGAUUUUUGCAUCUUCCAACUUCAGAAUAGCAAAGAGAGCGCGGAGGCAGAUGGAUGAGACUGAAGAAAUGCCACCCAACUCUGGAUUGAACAUCUCUUAGACAAGAGGUGGGGGGAAAUAACAAGCCAGAGAUAGAAAAGAUUACAGGAGUAAUUCAUCAGCGAAUGUUUCACUCGGCGGUCUCAUCUAAUGUAAGGAAACAUAAAAAUGAAUUUUUCCAAUU